GGGUGGACUCAACCAACUUGCUGCAAUCGAGUCUGCUCACCUGCUGCUAAUCAUCAAUCAAGCCGUCCACUCUGUGUGCAUUACUUAAGCCCGGCUCAGUCCUCCACUCCUCGUCAGAUCGUUUGUUUACCAAGUGUGGUGUUCAGCUCAGAUCUUCAAGCAACUUACUUCAAACGCCCAGCUCCGCAACCACAGCCAGCCAGUCACUCACCAUCUGCACCCUGGACACCUGAACUCUACCUGCACUUACUCUCAUUAAAACCCUGUUUUGAAAACUUCA